UAUUGAAGUCACCAAAUAGAAAUACCUUGCAUCCCCACGACUGCUGACAAAAUCAAAAUUGGAGAGAAGAUUCCAAUCCAUAUAAGACAUAUUUCCUCUUGACUCAUAACCAAUGUGGGACUAAAAAAAUUCUUUCUACACCACAAUACAGCCCCCCAAUCAAGAGAGAGUAUGUAUGGAUAGGAGGCAAAUUUUCACAGACGGCA
rnacentral:lncRNA from 1 species